CCUACGGGUGGCUGCAGUGGGGAAUAUUGGACAAUGGGCGAAAGCCUGAUCCAGCCAUGCCGCGUGUGUGAAGAAGGCCUUCGGGUUGUAAAGCACUUUCAGUGGGGAAGAAAGCCUUGGGGCUAAUACCCUCGAGGAAGGACAUCACCCACAGAAGAAGCACCGGCUAACUCCGUGCCAGCAGCCGCGGUAAUACGGAGGGUGCGAGCGUUAAUCGGAAUUACUGGGCGUAAAGCGCGCGUAGGCGGUCUGAUAAGCCGGUUGUGAAAGCCCCGGGCUCAACCUGGGAACGGCAUCCGGAACUGUCAGGCUAGAGUGCAGGAGAGGAAGGUAGAAUUCCCGGUGUAGCGGUGAAAUGCGUAGAGCUCGGGAGGAAUACCAGUGGCGAAGGCGGCCUUCUGGACUGACACUGACGCUGAGGUGCGAAAGCGUGGGUAGCAAACAGGAUUAGAUACCCUGGUAGUC
rnacentral:rRNA from 1 species